rnacentral:rRNA from 1 species
CAUGACUUCAAGAUGCUGUGCUUCGGGAACAUUGAGACAGGUGCUGCAUGGCUGUCGUCAGCUCGUGUCNGUGAUGUUGGGUUAAGUCCCGUAACGAGCGCAACCCUUGGUCCUUUAGUUUACCAGCACGUAAUGUGGGCACUCUAAGGAGACUGCCGGUGACAAACCGGNAGGAAGGUGGGGAUGACGUCAAGUCAUCAUGGCCCUUACGGACUGGUGCUACACACGUGCACACUGGUCGUGUCACAAAGGGUUGCCAAGCCGCGAGGUGGAGCUAAUCCCAUAAAACCGAUCGUAGUNCGGAUCGCAGUCUUCAACGACUGCGUGAAGUCGGAAUCGGAGGUAAUCGCGAAUCAAAAUGUCGCGGUGAAUACUGUUCCNGGGUCUUGUA